rnacentral:rRNA from 1 species
CAGUCGCCACGGGAAUACGUAGGGUGCAAGCGUUAAUCGGAAUUACUGGGCGUAAAGCGUGCGCAGGCGGUUAUAUAAGACAGAUGUGAAAUCCCCGGGCUCAACCUGGGAACUGCAUUUGUGACUGUAUAGCUAGAGUACGGCAGAGGGGGAUGGAAUUCCGCGUGUAGCAGUGAAAUGCGUAGAUAUGCGGAGGAACACCGAUGGCGAAGGCAAUCCCCUGGGCCUGUACUGACGCUCAUGCACGAAAGCGUGGGGAGCAAACAGGACUAGAUACCCCGGUAGUCCCUGUCUCUUAUAC